rnacentral:rRNA from 1 species
GACGAACGCUGGCGGCGUGCUUAACACAUGCAAGUCGAACGGAAAGGCCCUGCUUUUGUGGGGUGCUCGUGUGGCGAACGGGUGUGUAACACGUGUGUAACCUGCCCUUGACUUUGGGAUAACUUCAGGAAACUGGGGCUAAUACCGGAUAGGAGCUCCUGCUGCAUGGUGGGGUUUGGAAAGUUUCGGCGGUUGGGGAUGGACUCGCGGCUUAUCAGCUUGUUGGUGGGGUAGUGGCUUACCAAGGCUUUGACGGGUAGCCGGCCUGAGAGGGUGACCGGCCACAUUGGGACUGAGAUACGGCCCAGACUCCUACGGGAGGCAGCAGUGGGGAAUAUUGCACAAUGGGCGGAAGCCUGAUGCAGCAACGCCGCGUGCGGGAUGACGGCCUUCGGGUUGUAAACCGCUUUCGACUGUGACGAAGCGUGAGUGACGGUAAUGGGUAAAGAAGCACCGGCUAACUACGUG